AAAAUAAAAAAAAAGGCUCGACCUCACGCGUGGAGCCGUAAGUCUCCUGGAAGGAAGGCUUGCAUGGCCAAUUGAAAGCAGUCCAACCUUUAUUAAGAAAGUUAUAGAAGAUAAAUGCGCUAUGCCGUUAAGGCAAACACAACAAAAAUUUCAGUGCAGCUAGAAAGGACGUGAAUUUAAGAAUCACAUAUUGUUGUCGCAUGUUGGUCGUUAUAUUCGCGUAAUCCACUCCGACCCGGAUCGACCCCUGCCCAACUUUUAACAUCGUUAGAAUAUGAAGAUGUACUGAAGUCGCACAAACUCAUAUAUCCACCUAUUAUAAUAGCAGGAGAAGUGCAAUUCGACACGAGAAAGGUCUAGCAAAAAGUGGCCAAGAUAUCGCGUAGAAUACUUAAGAAAGAAAUGCCGCAAUGAAAGCAUCUAUAAAUUAUCUUUGCAGGAGUGCUAAAAAUGCUGUGCAGGUUUUAUGAAAAUGUGCGCUCUCCACUGCUAUAUCCAAAAAGACAAGCCUAUAAAACAAGAUGCCUACAUUUAUACUAUAUAUAUGUAUAUCGUUUAAGCACUCGCAAGGGUGAGCUUUUUGGAAAUUUGUCUUAGGAAAAUGUAUGAAAUUAAAUUAUAAA